rnacentral:rRNA from 1 species
AAAUUGAAGAGUUUGAUCAUGGCUCAGAUUGAACGCUGGCGGCAGGCCUAACACAUGCAAGUCGAACGGUAACAGGAAGCAGCUUGCUGUUUCGCUGACGAGUGGCGGACGGGUGAGUAAUGUCUGGGAAACUGCCUGAUGGAGGGGGAUAACUACUGGAAACGGUGGCUAAUACCGCAUAACGUCGCAAGACCAAAGAGGGGGACCUUCGGGCCUCUUGCCAUCAGAUGUGCCCAGAUGGGAUUAGCUUGUUGGUGAGGUAACGGCUCACCAAGGCGACGAUCCCUAGCUGGUCUGAGAGGAUGACCAGCCACACUGGAACUGAGACACGGUCCAGACUCCUACGGGAGGCAGCAGUGGGGAAUAUUGCACAAUGGGCGCAAGCCUGAUGCAGCCAUGCCGCGUGUAUGAAGAAGGCCUUCGGGUUGUAAAGUACUUUCAGC